rnacentral:rRNA from 1 species
AUAUUGCACAAUGGGGGAAACCCUGAUGCAGCGACGCCGCGUGAGCGAAGAAGGCCUUCGGGUCGUAAAGCUCUGCCCUAAGGGAAGAAACGGACGGUGUCUUAGGAGGAAGUCCCGGCUAACUACGUGCCAGCAGCCGCGGUAAUACGUAGGGGGCGAGCGUUAUCCGGAAUUAUUGGGCGUAAAGGGUGCGUAGGCGGCCUUUUAAGUCAGAUGUGAAAACUCUGGGCUCAACCUGGAGAUUGCAUCUGAAACUGGGAGUCUUGAGUGUAGAAGAGGAGAGUGGAAUUCCUAGUGUAGCGGUGAAAUGCGUAGAUAUUAGGAGGAACACCAGUGGCGAAGGCGACUCUCUGGUCUAUAACUGACGCUGAGGUGCGAAAGCGUGGGGAGCAAACA